rnacentral:rRNA from 1 species
CGUCCUGAUCCAGCCAUGCCGCGUGUCUGAAGAAGGCCUUCGGGUUGUAAAGGACUUUUGUCAGGGAGGAAAUCCCGCUGGUUAAUACCUGGCGGGGAUGACAGUACCUGAAGAAUAAGCACCGGCUAACUACGUGCCAGCAGCCGCGGUAAUACGUAGGGUGCGAGCGUUAAUCGGAAUUACUGGGCGUAAAGCGUGCGCAGGCGGUUUUGCAAGUCUGAUGUGAAAGCCCCGGGCUCAACCUGGGAACUGCAUUGGAGACUGCAAGACUAGAGUGCGUCAGAGGGGGGUAGAAUUCCGCGUGUAGCAGUGAAAUGCGUAGAGAUGCGGAGGAAUACCGAUGGCGAAGGCAGCCCCCUGGGAUGACACUGACGCUCAUGCACGAAAGCGUGGGGAGCAAACAGGAUUAGAUACCCUGGUAGUCCACGCCCUAAACGAUGUCAAUUAGCUGUUGGGGGUUUGAAUCCUUGGUAGCGUAGCUAACGCGUGAAAUUGACCGCCUGGGGAGUACGGCCGCAAGGUUAAAACUCAAAGAAUUUUUGACGGG